AACGAACGCUGGCGGCAGGCCUAACACAUGCAAGUCGAGCGCACCUUUCGGGGUGAGCGGCGGACGGGUGAGUAACGCGUGGGAACGUACCCUCUUGCCUGGGAUAACAGUUGGAAACGACUGCUAAAACCGGAUGAGCCCUUUGGGGGAAGGAGAGGAUCGGCCCGCGUCUGAUUAGAUAGUUGGUGGGGUAACGGCCUACCAAGUCUACGAUCAGUACCUGGUUUGAGAGGAUGAUCAGGCACACUGGGACUGAGACACGGCCCAGACUCCUACGGGAGGCAGCAGUGGGGAAUCAUAGACAAUGGGGGAAACCCUGAUCUUGCCAUGCCGCGUGGACGAUGAAGGCCUUGGGGUUGUAAAGUCCUUUCACCGGGGAAGAUAAUGACGGUACCCGGAGAAGAAGCCCCGGCUAACUCCGUGCCAGCAGCCGCGGUAAUACGGAGGGGGCUAGCGUUGUUCGGAAUUACUGGGCGUAAAGCGCGCGUAGGCGGGCUGUUAAGUCGGGGGUGAAAUCCCGGGGCUCAACCCCGGAACUGCCCUCGAUACUGGCAGCCUUGAGGAUGGCAGAGGCCAGUGGAAUGGCGAGUGUAGAGGUGAAAUUCGUAGAUAUUCGCCGGAACACCAGUGGCGAAGGCGACUGGCUGGGCCAUU
rnacentral:rRNA from 1 species